UGAAGAUACCUAUCUCUGGGAGAGUUAGCACAGCAGUCUGAAUGGAUUUCAGCCAAAGGUUAAAGAUAACUGGCCAACUUUAGGUCAGGGUUUGGCAAACGAACCCUGGUAUAGCCAGGAAAGGGAACUGAAAGCCAAAAGCAGAAGAAAACUUAAAGGCAGAGCUUGCCAAGUGGCCUGCCCUGUUUAUCUUCAUCUGGGAUAACCUGUGGGAGACGCACAGAGGUGACUACCUUAUCCUCAACAUGGAUGAGGGCCAAGAGGACAUAACAAAGGGGACAUACUACAAUACAGAUAAUUGCAAAGAGCAAGAGACAGCGCUGUGCAACUUGGGAUCAGCAAACUACAGCCAGGAACCAACUAAGGCCUACCUGAAUUCGUAAAGAAAGUUUCACUGGAAUAUAGCCAGGCUCAUUCCUGAACCUCUUGCUGCUGUCCCUCUGCAAGGGCAGAGGUGAGGAGUUGCAACAGACAUGAUAUGGCCUACAGAGCCCAAAAUGUUUCAUAUCUAGCCCUUUACAGAAAACAUUUGCCGACCCCUGACCUAAACCAUGUAAGCACCCAACUCCUAGAUAAAUACCUAAAGUCAGCCAGCAGCAUGUUGUUCCAAAGCACCUAACAAUACAGUCAGGUUUUCUCAUUUCAAA